CAGAUUUCCUCCAGCUCGCGCAGUGGAACCCGAUAUCGGGACGGUGAUCGAGCGGCAGGGACAGCAGUCUUCCGCGGCCCCGGCCUUUUGGACCGACCCGCUCGUGCCGCCGUAGUAUGGGUCUCCCUGGACGCGCUACCCGCAGGGUCUGGUCUGGGGGCGCGCGGGGGCGGGGAGUAGGGACCAGGAACGGCCGUGCCUGCGUGACACGUGACUGUCGGCCGAGCUCCGGGGCAGCCAUCUUCAGUUUUCCCGGGCCGCAGGCGAAGAACCGUCCGGGAUCUGGAUAGACUCUAUUCAGUCGCCUCCCCACCAGGCCCGGGGACCAGCCCUCACCUGCAAUCCGCUAGUCUACAGCGGGGGUACAGCGGCGCCGGCGAUACCGGGAGGACAGGCUGUCUCCAGAGCCAGAACCUAAAGGCUGAGAAUUGGAGAGCCGCUCUCCUGGAGCUGAUGGCUUCAGCUUUUCCCCAGGGGCGGAAGUUGGGGAAAGGAGUUCCCGUUCCUAAGGCGCCCUCAUCGCUCCUCCUGCCGCUUCCCUGUUCUGACCCAUUCCCGGGGACAGAGGAUGAAGGUUGCUGAAGUUGUUUGGACAGCCGUCGCCCUCCUCCAUGCUUUUCUCCUGCUGGUGGUUAGCUUGGAUGGUAGCUUGUUUAGUCACCUGGGGUCCUGGAAUCUCUGAACCUGCAACCUCAUUACCCGAGAAUUCUUUAGAACGGCACAUUCACGACCACACCUAGACCUACGGAAUCAGAAACGCCUCUAGUGGGGUCCUUCCCGAAAUCCGGUUAACAAGCUCCCAAGUCCUCAGAACAGUGAAGAACAGGAGGCUAGAGAAGUAGCCCAGCAGUUAAGAUUACUUUCUAUUCUUGAAGAGGAUCCUAGUUCAAUUCCUAGCACCCCACGUUACCACUGACAACCAUCUGAAACUGGUUCCCACGGAUCUGAUGCCUUCUGUGGCUGCAGAACACCAGGCAUGUAAGAGUUACACCUGCAUGCU
ensembl:lncRNA